GUGAAUGUGACAGCCAAUCGACCAGACUGCCAGCCUCAGCUUGGGGAGGAAAUGUAGAAAAACCUCCGUGAGUAAAAUGCGCGCGAAGUGACGCGACACGCGCCGCUCCACAAGUGCCCUGACUAUCUGCCACGGACAGCGCGAGAAGCAGGGCGCGAAACCGACUCGCCCUUUUGAGGGGACAAACAUGACUGUGGUGCCCGGGGAGAACCUCGAAGAGACUGUGGCAUUGGCAGCCCUGUCCCAAGAUGUUUACGACCCUGAACGGGCAGACCAGGAGUGCUGCGAGCGGGUGGUUAUCAACAUCUCCGGCUUGCGCUUCGAAACCCAACUAAAAACACUGGCGCAGUUCCCCGCCACCUUACUCGGUGACCCCAGGAAAAGAAUGCGCUUCUUCGACCCUCUGAGGAACGAGUACUUCUUCGACAGAAACCGUCCGAGCUUUGAUGCCAUCCUCUACUACUAUCAGUCUGGAGGCAGGCUGAGGAGACCCGUCAAUGUUCCCGUGGACAUCUUCAUGGAGGAGAUCAAAUUCUACGAGUUAGGAGAAGAAGUCAUUGAGAAUUUUAGGGAGGACGAGGGGUUCAUCAAGGAGGAAGAGCGACCUUUGCCCGAAAACGAGUUUCAGAGACAGGUCUGGCUGCUGUUCGAGUACCCCGAGAGCUCUGGACCCGCGAGGGGCAUCGCAAUCGUCUCGGUGCUCGUCAUCUUGAUAUCAAUUGUCAUCUUUUGCUUGGAGACUUUACCAGAGUUUAGGGAAGACGGGAAAAUGGUCGAGGAGCACCUCGCACUCAAUGGAACUGCUAGUUCAAAGAAGCCCAAUCCAUUCACAGACCCCUUCUUCAUUGUGGAGACCCUGUGUAUAAUCUGGUUCUCUUUUGAAUUGCUCGUGAGGUUCCUCGCGUGCCCAAGCAAGCCCGCCUUCUUCAAGAAUAUCAUGAACACGAUUGACAUCGUGGCUAUUAUCCCCUACUUCAUCACCUUGGGUCUGGAGUUGGCCGAGCAUCAGGGUAACGGCCAGCAGGCCAUGUCUCUGGCCAUCCUGAGGGUCAUUCGCUUGGUGCGGGUGUUCCGCAUAUUCAAGCUUUCCAGACACUCGAAGGGGCUUCAGAUCUUGGGCAAGACCCUGCAAGCGAGCAUGCGAGAGCUGGGGCUCCUCAUAUUCUUCCUUUUCAUUGGAGUUAUACUGUUCUCCAGCGCCGUGUAUUUCGCCGAGACGGACGACCCCGAAUCGGGGUUCAGCAGCAUCCCCGAUGCCUUCUGGUGGGCAGUGGUUUCCAUGACAACUGUUGGCUACGGGGACAUGUGCCCAGUCACCAUCGGGGGCAAAAUAGUGGGCUCUUUAUGUGCCAUCGCCGGUGUGCUCACCAUUGCGCUUCCAGUGCCCGUCAUCGUGUCCAAUUUCAAUUACUUCUACCACAGGGAGACCGAGCACGAGGAGCAGAUGCAGUACACGCACGUGACGUGUGGCCAGCAGCAGCCCUCGUUCGGUGAAUUUAAAAGGAGAGACAGCAAAGCGUCCCUUUCUAAAUCAGACUAUUUGGAUUCUGAGGAUGGAGAUUCAGUCAAGUACACCAACUGCAGCCCCCAUAAAGCAUACACAGGGAAGCUUACUGAUGUAUGAAUGUAGAACGCCGAGCAUUAGAAACCCAAAGAAGCGCACCUGUCUCUGUGAGUACAUCCUCAUCCUCAUCCUCAUCCCUCGCGCUGUACGUGGCUUGAGUAGAUCUGUGAGGAUUUUACUAUGACGUGAUGUGCGAUUGUUUUCGGAACUCUCUUCCAUUAACGUGACUGUAGGUCAUCGGGGCGCGAGACGUAGUUGUAUAGGCGCGAAAAUAAAAAAAAAUAAAUUAAAUAGAACGAUUAAAUCCUCGCGUAGCACUUUAGCAGUAUACUAAACUUUGUCCACAAAUUCGUUGGCGCGUGAUCUGUUAGUUUUCCAGAAAUUUGGUGCCAGUGCGAUUCAGACGUUUACAUACAAAUUGCUCAUUUGAAAAAUAAAUAGUAGGACCAACGUGUAACUUUUUUUUUUUUUUUUUUUUUUUAAUGUUUUUUUUUAAUUUAUUUUUUUAAAUAGGGCAGUUCGACUGCAAGGUCAUUUUGGGAAGAAAAAAAAAGUUUGCUACAGAUUAUUUAAAAUAUUAUUAUCGCAAUAUGUAACGUUAAAUUUAGAAAUACACAUCACAGUAAAAAAAAAAAAAACAUUUUUUUUUUCUAAGGACGAUCAGUAGAAGAGCAAACCAGCUUUGUGAUAGGUAAUUUUAGGCAUUUUCAGGUUGUCACUGCAUAAGCAUUGAAAGGUUAUCUUAAAGCUACUUGAUAACAUUAUUCGUACUAUGGAGAGGCACUUCAGGGAUACAGGCUUACACUGAUAAGCAACACGAAGCUUCUUCAUUUCGUCAUGUUAUCAACAGAUGUGUAGAGGAUGAAUGAGGAGAUGCUCGAUUUCAACAGCGUGCGCUCAAAUCUGGACACGAGUUCUUUUUCAAAUACACUAGCGUUAUCUAGUGGACAAUGGUGGAAACUGCAGUCUUUUAACAUAGGCUACUGCAUGUGUCUCCAUAGCAACUUUCCAGACGGUUCUGGUGACAUUGGGCUAUUAUUGUUCCCUAAAUCUAUUCACAUGGAAGACGGCUUCUGGUGCUUUUAUUUUAAAACUAGGUACUUUCAUAUAUUCAGUUAAGGAAAAAUCAUCAACCCUCAGGUAGGCAGGUUUACAUUCUCAUCAGGUCUAGUUAAACUAUGAGUCCACAUCCAUAAUAAUGGAGAGACAUCUUCAUUUCUGCACUGCAACAGCGUGGAAAGGGCAUCAUGAAUUCAGCACAAAAUCGGAUUCAUUAUGACGUCACUGUGAGAAAGGAAAGUCUCUGUCUAUUGGCUGGACUAGGAGACUCAACCCCUGCAAUGUCAGUAAUGGACUAACUGAAAAUGGAAACAACUAAACAGAUUUCCGGACACACCACAUCAAGUUUUUUUUAUUGGAUUUUCACAUUAGCAGUGAGAGUUCAGACAGGAAGAGGUACAGUCAUGAAACUGGACUUCCUGUCCUUCAGAUCUGCAUACCGUAUACAUGCAGCACAGUAUCAUCAAGGACAAUAUGAACCUUCACCAGAGCAGCAGAACAUGGGAUGAAACAAACUUCAUUUAAACCACAUUCACUUGUUCCUAUCAAAGGAAUUAUGCACAGUGUCUCAAAAGGAAUCAUAUUGCCAAAUGGGGAAUCUAACCAUGAGGAGAUACGACAAUGUGGUGAAGAUGAAGAAGAUGAGGUAGAAACUAUUUACUUGAAAUCACAGAGUACAUGCACAAACAAUUUGUGAGAUGCAUCUUGAUGUUUAUGUGCCCUUAAAACAACAACAUGCUACUGGGACAGGUGUGACUAUGUACACGUGAAUAUUCGUCUUCAGACCAGCAGUAUGUCACAUUUAAACAUUACAGAUCAUGUGCUAUACCAAAACAUGUUAGGGAUUGCAUGGAAAGUUGGGAAAGGAAUAAAUCUUGAUUAUUAUGUUAAUUUAAUUUCUUUUUUUUUUUCAACAAACUCAGUAGUCAUUUUAAGUGGGAACAACUAUCAAUGACAACAAAUUACUUGACUGUUGAGGUUAACAUUGUUAAAUAUCUAUUUUUUUAAAGUAUCAUAGGUUUUAUAUAAAAAUGGAAUCGGUUAAACUGGUGAAAGGUUAUUUUUCUAGCUUUUUAAAAUUUUGCUAAAUCAUUUUACAUUAUCUUUCUUUCUUUGUUUCAAGGAAAUGUGUAUACAUUGAUUUCCUCCUGUAAUACUUUAUGCAGUAUAAAUAUUGAAAUGCAAAGGUUGCUGCAAGUUUGUGUCUUUAUUUCUUUUAUGAUUAUUGAUAUAGUUUCAUAAUCACUCAUCAGCGAAAGCAUCUACCUCAGUGUCCUGAUUGGCUGUUUUACUGUGUGUUUACCUCACUGUGUUGAGUUAUGUCAAACUGUUCACAAGCCUUAUUUAUGGAAACAGCUUAAGCAUACAGCAUGUGACGUUUCCCCACAUUAUUGUUGGAUGUAUGUUGUCCUGACUUUGUCCAUUCUGGUUUUGGGCAAUCAUUCAAUACAAAAAGUCAUUACAAUAAUGUAAACCUGGCAAGUAAAAACUCAUUCCAACAUUGCCCACUAUGGUACCCGGUAGGUGACAUGGUCGGUUCACAUAGUUUUGUCGUGGGAGUUUUGUCGUGGGAACGCGAUAAUAUGUCGUGGCCACAAGGUAUUAAUUUAUGGGAAUGCCAUGUUAACUCAUGGGUAACAACAUCUUUAUGUCGCGGCCUCAAGAUAUUAUGUUGAGGGAACAACAUGCAUUUCUCAAUGCCGCGACUUCUUAAUUGAGGGAUCGACAUAUUUUUCGCGUGGCAGCGAGUUUAUUAUUAUCAGAGAUUAUCAGAGAUGGAUUAAUUAAUAUUUUAUAUUGAAUAAAGAAAUUGUAUUACUUAUUAUAGAAAUCAUUACAUUAUUAAAUAAUAAUAUUAACCAUAGGCCUUGGCUACUGGUGCUGUAUUACAUAUGAUAGUCAGCAUUCAAAUUAAGUUUAUCAUAAAUAAAUGUUAUGUAAAGUGCAUAUUAUAAAAUUGGCCUAAAAUUAUUAUUUUUUAAUCCAUCCUACAGUCUUGUAAGUCCAUUAACUGACCAUAUUUCUCCAAUAAUAUUUGUGUAUUUACUAUUAUUAGCCUAUUAUAAUUGGUUGUAUUUUUAUAUUCAUUUUCCCCCUUUUUUCAAUCUUUACUUAACGUUCUGCGUACUUUUGUAAAUAAUAGCUUACUGUAAAUGCUCGACAUGCCAGUAAAGCUUUGAUUAUGCUGACUGGAAUUUUUGCUGGAAUGCAGUUUAAAUUGAACAUAUAUUUCAUUUUAUUUCUGCUAAAUAGACAAUAAUUAUAAAUACUGUAGUGUUUUGUUGAGGAUUUAAUCAUUCAUGUAGUUUAUCAUCACACAUGGGCAUAAAUACAAUCAUAAAUUCUAAACUAUAUUGGCAUAACAGUUAGACGUUUAUUUGCAAAAUAUAAGAUAGGGUAGCAAAUACUACCAUAAUUAGCAUAUACAACAAUAAAUAUAAACAUAUAGCUCUAAGUUAAUGUAAUAUAAUAUAAAAAUAUUAAAUUAAAUCUUAAUGUUAAUUAAAUUUUUUAUAAAUUUUUUAUAAUUCCGGGUUGCUAUGGACACACAGGUUUAUUUACACAUUAAACUUGUGGCCCUCAACAUAGCAUCAAGAGGUCACGACAUAAGGAUGUCAUUAACUCGACAACAUGACGUUCCCACGAGUCAUUAUGUCAUGGCCACAACAACACUAAGUGAACCUAACACGCCACCUCCCGGGCACCAUACCGUUAGAAUAAAUAAGAGAUUGAAAUGUAUUUUCCCUGCUUUCUAAUUAUAGAGAUAUAUAGGCCUAAGAAUUGAAAUCUAUAAAUAGAUUUUAUAGGCUAAGAUGUGGGAAAUUGCAAUGAGUUAAUAUGCUAAUGAUGAUACUUAAAGAGAUUGUAUGACAGUAGAUUUUCCUAGAUGAAAUGUAUAUAUUAUAUAUAAUGUUCCUAUUUAAAUAAAUAAUUAUUUCGUUAAGGUUUGUUCAUAAGCAUACAUGUAUCCAAUUCAAUUCCUGAAAUUCGGACUUCACAUGCAUACUGUAUGAAAAUCUGCAUCAUGUCCAAUGAAUGUCCAGCAUCCAGUUAAUCAUUUUGUCAUCUCUGUGUAUCAAAAACACUCUGCUGCUUUGAGGUCUUCCAUGUGAAAGCAAGAUGCUUCAUAAUCAUUUCUUCACAUUGCCAUUAUGUUCACUCUUUCAGUUCAUUUACAAACUAGUUUUGAUAAAUAAACAUAUCACCUGUUCUCUUCAUCUAAAUUGGACAUUACCACUGUCUAAAAAUAGGAUGGACAGAGCAGUAUUGGCUGACAUUGAUUCAUAUAAAUGAACAGUUUAUUUCAAUGAAUUAAAUCACUGAUUCAUUUGAGUCAUCACUCAAAGUUAAAAAAAUGCAAGUUUUUGCAGGCCUACCAUACAGUUUGUAACGUUUGCAUUAAACGUUUGCAAUACAGUGAAACAGUCGUAUUUUUCAAUGACAUUACAGAAAUUGUGUCGAAAAUUGCAGGAGCACAGACCCAGAGCAAUUCAUUUAUGAAUUAUUAAUCAUUAUGCUUGGUCCAUCAUUUCAUAUUUGGCACAGACACAGUGUGUUAAUAUGAUCAAGUCAAUAUAAAUUGCAGGGCUUUAGUCAUGUGUUUUCAAAUGGUUUUCAUGUUGGCUGCUGCCCCAUCAUUAGACUUGAUAUGAGCUGUGAUACAAACAUUUACUUACACAUUUGAGUAAUCAAUAGUAUGAAUGUAUCACGCAGAACUAGGAAUGUUUUUAUUAUUAAACUGUAAUGAUCUACAUGAAAGACUGCAGGGUAGGGGACGGCAGAAACAACUUUCACAUAUAAACCAAAGGGUCACUUAUUCCACAUACAUUUAGAAAAAUCUGCUGUGACCGUUUGUAUUAUUAUUUUUUUUCCAAUUGAUUUCUUUGGACAUAAAAUAUUUUAUGAAGUUUUGAUGACUUCAAAGCAGGCCAAGUUGUUGACUGAGCUAAAGUGAAUGAAUUCAAACUGGUAGUAACCAGAUGGGAUUUUGUUAUGGCUGUGAGUUGAAUACAACCCAGCGCUAAGUAAAAUAUGGACAAACCCAACAACUGGGGAAGUUUUGACCCAGCGGUUUGAUUAAAUGUUUAACUCAACCUUCUGGGUAAUAACCCAACCACUGGGUCAAAACUACCCAGUCGCUGGGUUUGUCCAUAUUUUACCUAUAUUUUACAUUUUAAAGUGUAAGAAACAGGAAUUGUAUGGCUUUUAAAAUUUUAAAAUAGACAUUUCUUCAAAAAUAAAAAGUUAACCACUAGCUGCUCAAUUCAACUUCCUGUUCAACUAACUAAUAAGAGUAUAGGUGCAACCAUUUUUAACCUGCAAGGCUUCUAGUGUCAGUAGCUUCCAGAUAUUUUAGCUGUUCAAAAUCAAAGUCUUGCUUCAAACUGGUAUUUGUUAUCAUAUUAUUUCAGUCUAAUCCUAAACACUUAGAAUUUGUCACAUGAUUUGACAGUUUACUCCACUUUGUUAUUCUUCUAGUAAUUUAAGGGAAUGAUAGGAAAAAGAUAACUUUUAUUAAGUAAUGCUGUUACUUUGAAACUGAGCUCUUAGACUGUAAUUUGGUCAUCUUGUUAAUCUGAUGUUUCUAAAAUGAAAAUGGCAGGUAGAUUUGCAGAAUUUUGAAGAAGGAAAGUGUAAAAAACCUCACAAUUAGCCCUGUCUGCUCUAUCUUGUGGUCAUGGAUGCUGCUGAUGUUCAUGCAUUACCGGUUUUGUAGAGUAUCACACAUUUACACAGGCUAAACAUCAUGUAAUGAUUCUUCAAAUGUGGCACUCCAUUCAUACUGCUCAUAUCAUUCCCUACACAUCCCUGAUGUCCACACAUGUGAUUUCUAAAUAGAUCAUAGAUGUUCCAUUAUAUCUCCGCUGACUGUCUGCUACAUGUAACUAAACUGUUGCCUAAGCAAGAAGUGCAACUGUAUGUGCAUUUCUGACAUCUUCCUUUAAAACCACCUUUUAGAUGAAGUGGUAUAUAUUUAAAGCAGGGAAAUAUAUUCUCAAGCAAUCCAUUACAUAAGCUGAUCAUGUAUUAAUAACCAUUGUGAGAAGUUAUAAAACAGGCAAAGUGUUGCACAGUUUAGUACCGUAUGUGUCUGUUGUUUGUGCAUAGUAAGCAAUAAUGCAUCAUAAAUCAUAGGAGUACAAUGACCGAAGUAUCACUGUUGCUUUGCACAUGAUGUUAACUGGUUGUUCAUGUAAAUAUAUUCUUUACUAGUGCCUUAUAUCAUGCAUCAUAUCGUCAGUGAAAGAAACUGAAAUCACUAUCCAUUCUAGAGCAUGAAUUUUGAGGUUAUGAUGUCACUUUUGUAAAAUGAAUGUAUUGCAUUAAAAGUCUUCCUGGGAUUAUAAUAUUCUUUAUAUAUGCUCAUGUAACAUCAUGUGUUUCUAAAGGACCGAUCCCCAUGUUUCAACUUUUCAGCAAUGCCCAUUAUAAAGACAUUUCACAUAAACCUUUUGGCAUUCAUGCAACAUAAAGUAAUCCUUUCAUUCAUAAUUUUUUUUUUUUUUUUUUUUUUUUUUUUUUUGCAGUUAAAGUUAUAUACAGGUUAAUUACAAGCUAAUCUCAGUUGACAGCACUUGUGGCAUAAUGUUGAUUGCCACACACAACUUUUGAGUUACAGUAAGGCACUUAUAAACAAGGCCUAUCCAUAAAUGCAAAAUAUAAAAUAAAAAUGAAAAAAUCACUGUUUCAGUGCAGGCAUGAUUUGUGUAAGAAAAAAAUUGUAAAGUUUUAUUUAAUUCUGCAAUGUAGACUUUAAACCCUACAACACUAUGAAUUUGUUUGCUUUUAAGUCUUCCAAAAAUGUUCCAAAUUCACAUCCAUUACAAAUUUCCUUACAAAUGUCCUUACCUUAGUCUAGAUUUGUAUAUAUACUGUAUAUAUAUAUAUAUAUAUAUAUAUAUAUAUAUAUAUAUAUAUAUAUAAACAUCAUGCCAUGAAUUUUGUUGAUUCCGUUUAACUUUUACUGAAUUCAGAAAUGUCCUUUAAAUCAAUACAUUACAAGUUUUCAGGAGCUUGCAGAAUAGACAUAAACAAAAAUGGCAACAGAAUGCAUUAGCAUAAACCCACAUGGCAAUGAUCAAAUCUUGUUCAAAUCACCCAAAAUUUGAGCCAGAUAAAAAAUAAAAAAAAAACCUUAAAAAAAACUUCUUAAAUUAUUCUGUUUUCGCUGAAAGCGAUAAAUCUGCACAAUGCAAUGCAGUCGCAACCAAUCAAAACAUAUUUGAUGUUUAUUUGAAAACAACAUUUUCUGUAAGGUUUCAUUGUGGGUGUUAGAGAUUCAGAGUCCUAACCCAAAGGUUGUGUGUUCGAGUCUUGGGCCAACGGGAAUUGUAGGUGGGGGAAGUGAAUGUACAGCGCUCUCUCCCACCUUCAAUACCAUGACUGAGGUGCCCUUGAGCAAGGGACCGAACCCCCAACUGCUCCUCGGGCGCUGCAGCAUAAAUGGCUCUAGGUGUGUGUGUGUUCACUGCUGUGUGGGUGCACUUUGGACUGGGUUAAAUGCAGAGCAAUUCUGAGUAUAGGUCACCAUACUUGACUGUAUGUCACGUCACUUUCAAAUAAAAAACAAGCAGAGAUAGUGAGGAUGAUGUGUCACAUCUGAUUAGAACAUGAUGUUGAGCUACAAACGCAUCAGAUCGUCUGUGUUCAUACUGUGUGUGUGUAGUGCAGCUGGUGUACAUCUGAAGAGCCUUAGCACUUUGUUAUCACUGUACAAAGGUGUCUGGUGUGUCCAGUAUGAGUAGUUCUUGUACUAACUGUUGUCUGCUGUCAUGUCCUUCCUGCUAUUGUAUUGAAUCAUUAGCCAUUUAUUGUGUAAAACACAUAGUCUGCUAAUAUGUCCAGUAAUGUCCUCUGUCUAGUCUUCUUACUCAGCAGGAUGAUGAAUUUAGUGUCUAGUUGAUGAUGUAAAUGUAUGGUGUACAGUUAUUUUGAUGUUGUGAUAGAGAGUAUGUUGUAUACCUGAGGUAAUCUAUCUAUCUAUCUAUCUAUCUAUCUAUCUAUCUAUCUAUCUAUCUAUCUAUCUAUCUAUCUAUCUAUCUAUCUAUCUAUCUAUAUUUGAAUUAUAAACAUACAGAAUGUAUGGAAUAAAUAUGUUUGAAUACUUCUUUUGUCUGAUCUCCUACAUUUAAUCAAGUCAUCUUUACAGCAUUUGAAAUGGUAAAAUAGUGCACCAUUGUCUCUGGACCCCAGCCUGGUUCCAUCCAGACUAUUACAUCUAAUUGGUGACCCCUGGUAAAGACAAGGAGGGCAUGACUGUACUAUGUUUGACUUUUAAUUGUACACACAAUUAAUU